GGUGAGUAACGCGUGAGUAACCUGCCUUACACAAGGGGAUAGCCGUUGGAAACGACGAAUAAUACCCUAUGAAACUAUCACUUCGCAUGAAGCGAUAGUCAAAGUGUUAGCGGUGUAAGAUGGACUUGCGUCUGAUUAGCUAGUUGGUGAGAAAAAGCCCACCAAGGCAACGAUCAGUAGCCGGCUUGAGAGAGUGUACGGCCACAUUUGGACUGAGACACGGCCCAG
rnacentral:rRNA from 1 species